AUACCUACCUGGCGUCGGGAUACCGUGAUCAUGCAGGCGGUUCCCCGGGGUGCGGCUGCUCCAUUGCACUGCAGAGUGGUUGACCCUUGCGAUUAUUUUUAUAUUUUAUAAGUUUCACUUCUACCGUGUAUGACUUGCACAUAUA
rnacentral:snRNA from 9 species